rnacentral:rRNA from 1 species
GAUGAACGCUGGCGGCGUGCCUAAUACAUGCAAGUCGAGCGAACAGAUAAGGAGCUUGCUCCUUUGACGUUAGCGGCGGACGGGUGAGUAACACGUGGAUAACCUACCUAUAAGACUGGGAUAACUUCGGGAAACCGGAGCUAAUACCGGAUAACAUAUUGAACCGCAUGGUUCAAUAGUGAAAGGCGGCUUUGCUGUCACUUAUAGAUGGAUCCGCGCCGUAUUAGCUAGUUGGUAAGGUAACGGCUUACCAAGGCAACGAUACGUAGCCGACCUGAGAGUGUGAUCGGCCACCCUGGAACUGAGACACGGUCCAGACUCCUACGGGAGGCAGCAGUAGGGAAUCUUCCGCAAUGGGCGAAAGCCUGACGGAGCAACGCCGCGUGAGUGAUGAAGGUCUUCGGAUCGUAAAACUCUGUUAUCAGGGAAGAACAAAUGUGUAAGUAACUGUGCACAUCUUGACGGUACCUGAUCAGAAAGCCACGGCUAACUACGUG